UUUUAGCAGUGGGUUCAAAACCUCAUAGAGUUCGUCUGCAAAUCAAAAAUCAAGCACAUUCAAAACUACUAAAAAUCAUAUAAAUCAGGUAAAUCAAUGCUGCAAAAAACCAUAAAGCCUACCACCAUCUUCUUCAACAUUCAUUUGGCAAAACAAUUGAUCAUCACAAGAAAAUUAUUCAAAUUACAAUCACACACAUAAUAUACAACUCAACAUCUUCCAAUAUAUGGCAAAAUUCAAAAAAAUAAAAAUCAAAACACAUACAUAUCUUUGAGAUGAGAGGGCGACGUCUCGCGGCUGAAGGGGAGAAGACGGCGGUUGGCGGCUAUUGUUGCUAUCGUCGUUGGGAAAGGAGGACCGAAGGCAGUGACUCUGUGAUGUUGCUAUCAAAACACUUGAGGUGAUUGGUAAUUUGGAUGAUGGAAUGGAGGUGUGAAUGGAAUGGUGAUUUCUACCUUCAUUCUAUUCAUAUGAUUUGUAUAUUUUUUUUGUAGCAAUAUCAUUCCUUCAACAUAUCAUGGUAUUAAUCAUUC
rnacentral:lncRNA from 1 species